rnacentral:misc_RNA from 1 species
AAGUCGUAACAAGGUUUCCGUAGGUGAACCUGCGGAAGGAUUAUUACCGAGUUAGGGUUGCUUCUCGAGCCCGAUCUCCAACCCUUUGUUUAAAUCACUUUGUUCGCUUUGGCAGGCCCUGCUCCUCCGGGGACCGGCCGGGGAUGUUCAUGUCAUCUCUGGCCCAGUGCUUGUCAGUAGCCACUUCAAAUUCAAUGUUAAUCCAUGUUCGUCUGAACCAUUAAAAUAUAAAUUUAAUUAAAA